GCUCCUCUCGUGACUGCCUCCUCACCCGAAGCCCCCACCGUCCGCUGGUUCACCGGCCCUGCUCGCCUUCGGUGCGUCACCGGAGCAGGCCGGACCGAGCCCCGUCGCAGAUCGCCGUCGCCAUCACACCCUCCUCAACCCACAGCUCUAUCCUCUCGCGUUCAUCUGUCUCUCUCGCCUCUCCCGUGCAGGAAGCCAUGGCCACGCCCGGAACCUUCACCGUGCUCGGCUCUGCCCAGGAUCGAGGGGAUCUGGUCCCUAGCGGUCGGAUCCGGCCGCCCCGAACUCCCCUUCGCGCCUCCAGCCAUCGCCAUCUCCAUGCCCCCACCACGCGUUGAUUUCCUGGGCAGGCCGAGUGCACGCCAUGAGCCGUCCCAGCUUGCCGCAUCCCCGCCGAUCCGGCCAGCCAGGGCGUCUGCCUCGAGCCCAGCCGCAAGGCAAGCCACACCAUGACCCCGAGCCGGCCCAAUCCCCACGGGCCCGAGAUUGCGUGCUUGGAGAGGAGGAUCCCGAAGAUAAGCCUGGAACCUAGGCACCGAAGUCAACAGUCGCGUGAGAUAGAAAUUAACCCCGUCAGUUGUUCCUAUAGGAAAUGGAGUCCCAUAGACGUUGGAGAUCCCCGAACCGCUUCCACCAUCAACCAAUAGAAACCUUUUGAUGUACUCCAUAGACCAUCUUGGUCUUGUACCUCAGAUUUACAUUUUUCUUGGAUAUUUGUAUCAAGGAUUUGUGCACUAGCUAACAGUAUUCCUCGGGCUGGUAUGCACAAGGGCCAUUUUGAAGGGAAAUUAAAACCCAAAAGAACUG